rnacentral:rRNA from 1 species
CCUAGGGUGGCUGCAGUGGGGAAUAUUGGACAAUGGGCGAAAGCCUGAUCCAGCCAUGCCGCGUGUGUGAAGAAGGCCUUCGGGUUGUAAAGCACUUUCAGUGGGGAAGAAAGCCUUGGGGCUAAUACCCUCGAGGAAGGACAUCACCCACAGAAGAAGCACCGGCUAACUCCGUGCCAGCAGCCGCGGUAAUACGGAGGGUGCGAGCGUUAAUCGGAAUUACUGGGCGUAAAGCGCGCGUAGGCGGUCUGAUAAGCCGGUUGUGAAAGCCCCGGGCUCAACCUGGGAACGGCAUCCGGAACUGUCAGGCUAGAGUGCAGGAGAGGAAGGUAGAAUUCCCGGUGUAGCGGUGAAAUGCGUAGAGAUCGGGAGGAAUACCAGUGGCGAAGGCGGCCUUCUGGACUGACACUGACGCUGAGGUGCGAAAGCGUGGGUAGCAAACAGGAUUAGAUACCCCUGUAGUC